GGAGUUGAAAAGUAAGGGAGAAAGGGAAGGAGGCAUUUUCGAGGAGAGAAUGAUGUAAGAAAGAAGCCCAUCUCCUAUUACAUGCACCCUCUCUCCCUCUUCUUAUUUUUUGUCACACCAACUCAUCAUAUUUCAUGCACACCCACCUCUUAACACCCUAAAAGAUCAAAUCCCAUUAGAUUUAAGCCAUUCAAAACCAUAUCAA
rnacentral:lncRNA from 1 species